rnacentral:snoRNA from 1 species
GGUGGCCCUUAUCGAACCUUAUCGAAGCUGCAGCGUCUUCUACAUAGCUGCUGUGGUAAAAAAAAAAAAAAAAAAAAAAAAAAAAAAAAAAAAAAACAAAACCAGAGAAACAAUUUUCCUUGAUGGUUGCAGCUCUGUUUCCUGUAACUGAUCAUUUUGGGAAAAGACAGCU